GACGAACGCUGGCGGCGUGCUUAACACAUGCAAGUCGAACGGAAAGGCCCUGCUUGCCGGGUACUCGAGUGGCGAACGGGUGAGUAACACGUGGGUGAUCUGCCCUGCACUUCGGGAUAAGCCUGGGAAACUGGGUCUAAUACCGGAUAGGAGCCAUUUUUAGUGUGAUGGUUGGAAAGUUUUUUCGGUGUAGGAUGAGCUCGCGGCCUAUCAGCUUGUUGGUGGGGUAAUGGCCUACCAAGGCGGCGACGGGUAGCCGGCCUGAGAGGGUGGACGGCCACAUUGGGACUGAGAUACGGCCCAGACUCCGACGGGAGGCAGCAGUGGGGAAUAUUGCACAAGGGGCGCAAGCCUGAUGCAGCGACGCCGCGUGGGGGAUGACGGCCUUCGGGUUGUAAACUCCGUUCGCUAGGGACGAAGCUUUUUGUGACGGUACCUAGAGAAGAAGCACCGGCUAACUACGUG
rnacentral:rRNA from 1 species